AUCAUUUUUCUUUCACUUUUUUUGAGAUCGUUGUGACCUAGUGCAAAAAAAGUCAAGCGAAAGAAGCCCGCAUACCCACUCUUCUUUCCCCCCCCUUGCCUUGGGCUUGGGGGGCCUCGUUGUCACCUUUGGCUCCAACUACUUUACUUUUAGCUUGCUGCCAAAGUUUCCCUUACUCAAACAAACCAAAACUCAAACAAACCAAACCUCAUUUUUUGAUUUCAAGCGCCCAAAAUCGACCCGGCGGGUCUCGUAUAAAAACAGAAUUACUACAAGUUAAGUAACAAACUCAAAACGGAAUUGGAAUUCUGGGUCAACGAUAAUCUUUUAGAAGACAUCUUAUACAAUCGUAGAUUUCAUUAUUUAUAUCUCCUUCUUUUUUGACUAGGUUGAAAGCCUGUAGUAAAUUUUUGUGGACCGAAUCAAGCAAGUUCAUUUUAGGGGCGGGUAUCAAUCCGGCAUCCCGGAGAAGUUCAGAGGCUACCUUAUUUAAGAAACUGGGUGUUUCUAUAUAAGGGUGAGCUCCGGGGAACUCGGCAAUUCUAUUUUUUUUUUAUUUUGUUAAAUACGCGUCCACUUCUUGAAAUACAAGAUUGCGUAAACAAUCCUCCUUCUCUUUUCUUUUAUCCUUUCUGUUAUUAUUAGAAUUUGAAGAAGAUGAGGAAGAAGCGGGCGCCUGAGAAGCAUUUAGAUUUAGCAUGUGGUUGAUUACAUAAAUGGGGAACUGCCUUAAAGCGCGAACCAAGAUCCAUGAUACGAAAACCAAAAUAUAGAAAGUAAAGAAGAAAAGACAUAACCAAAAAAAUUGUGUAAAAUAAGUGAAUUUAUCCAGUUGAGGCAUGCUUGAUUGAGAAAAAAGGAUUCCCUCCAGACAGCUUAACGGAGUUAAGCCUGUAUGAGUAGUGAAGAAUUCGAAUUGAAAUGGAUUGGUUAUUGGUUUUUCCAACGAAAGAAAGCAUGGGGCACAAACUCGAAACAACGAAGUUCUCAGGAGCAAUAUCAACUACCUAGACCGACCUGCUAUAAUAAUUCCAUCAACACCUAGCGAAGAUACUGUACUGAAUGACUGGAUCGAUCGUACUAGAUAGAUAGUCUCAGAUAGACAACCUUUCAUACGCAAUUCCUCGAUGCCAAUCUCGCACUUGGUCUGAUCGCACCGUAGAUCAAGUUGGAGAUGUAAAACUCUUUUCUCCUAUUAUUUCAUUUGCACGAGAUAAGGCAAAAAGCCAAAGCAAAGGGAAAGGGGAGAAGACAGAGCUCCCGAAGCCCACAAAAGCGUAGGGGGAGAGUGAGACUAGUAGGGCGAUGGAGUGAGCCCCUUACCCAAGAUGGGAGGUUCCCGUCGAGACUAAGCCCUAACUAAGUGAGCGCAACAGUUUAGACUCAACCAUAAUAUGUAAUUAUGGGAUGCUGCGGGAGUGCACGGUGUCCGGGUAGACGAACCGACGGGACGUAGCCAUUGGCCCUUCCUGUAGAGGAUUGCCUUUUCUCAAGAUGAGACAGUUGGGAUGGAACUUGAACGGGGUUCAUUUGCAAAAGUUGGAGAAUCCAACCUGCUGCUGUGGGAAUAGUGCCUCACGUCGACUUUUUGCCGUUGAAUCCCGAAGAAAGAAUAAAAUAGAAAAAAUUCCUUUUAAGGAAAGAAUCCAUAGGAGAAGAUAGCCACACCGACGCACAGAGAAUAGGGGGUGGAGACGAAGAAGGGCAGAAACUUACAUACUUCUUUCCAGCUCUUCUAGUUAGCGCGUAGUGGGAAUAGCCCCUUCCAUUGCCUGAAAGCCAAUAAAGAGUGCCUCACGUUCCACUGAACGCUGGGGAAGGAAGUGACAUAGUUUUUUUUACGAGGGGUAUGCUUUAUCUAUCUUAUUGGCUUAAGCAUCCUAUUAUUCUUUUAUCCCAUUAUAAGAAGAUUUUCCGGCCCUCAUUACGUCUUCUUUCUUUUUUUGAUUACCUUCCUCGCGUAUGUAUAAGAUAAGAUCGAACCCAUUCGAUUUCUAAAAAGGAUUACUCAUCCUUAACUUUUCGAGGAAUCCUUUAUCAGUGGUUGUGAAUGACCUAUUUUUCUCAAUCUUUUCGACCUUGGUUCCGUAGGAGCAAGUCAGAAAGAUUGAGAAAUAGAACCAUCUGAUUUGAUUCGUUCUCAAUAGCCAUGAGAUGCUCAUCUUAGGGUGAUCCUUUUGUCGACGGAUGCUCCUAUUACACUCGUAGUCUCUGAAGGAUGAGAACCAGAACCAACUAUGUAGCAUCUACCUGGCGUUUGGAAGCACUAGAAUUAGUGGGCUCUGGGGCCUAACUUAGUGGUUGUCCCUCUUCCAUUCUUCGAACCUGGUCGUUAGAAUGGCGGCGGCAUCCCGCGCGGAGGCGGGCCUUCCAUCGGGUUGGGAAAGUUGUCGGAUAAAGAUCCGAAUUUGCUCCAGCUCCGGCUCGGAAGCCGUCUGGAGCCCUAGUUCUUCCCCAACCCUAUCUGUGAAGUCCCUGGAAGAACUCCGAACCCCAAAAGAGGAUAGAAAGUAACCCACUUCAAAUUGGGUCCUGCGCCUACGGUCAUUCCCAAAAAUGGAAUCCAAUGGGUCAUCCCUCCCCUAGCCAUUCCUCAUGCUGAACAGGGGAGGGAUUUGAAUUUGAGGCCCCUGCUGUGGCGCUGGCCCUUCAACCGACUGUUCCCUCUCAAAAAGGUUAUUUUCCUCUAAGGAGGGGAGUGAAGGUACAGAGGGGAUUGAAGGAUCGGUUGGUAUAGGUGUAAAAGAGGAGGGAAUUGAGGGAAAAGACCCCAGAGGAGAGUCCGCGGGGGCCACAUUAGAAGGGCCGGCUUCAUGCCCUUCCGGAGGUUGGUUUACGCCGGCUUCCGCCCCAGUAGGCGAAACCCGCAUUUCAAAGAAAGACGCGGAUUCGCUACUUAGAAAUGCUUUUAAACCCAAGGGCGAAGGUCAGACCCCCACCAAAGCCCAGUUUUAUGCAUAACUGGCAAAGGACGCGCACCCAAAAAUGGAGUCCUACUUUGGAGAGAAGCCAAACGAAAUACGAUCCAAUUUCAAGUGUUUCACAAAGCCAAUAAAAAAACAAAACCAGAGUGAUGAACAAUAGAGAAAUUCUCAAACCCAUGGAACCAAACCCGCGUAAGAUCAAAAAAACUAGCAGACUAAUCACUAAAUAGAUACAAAUAGGUGCAAAUUCUAACAUCACCACAGCCCACUUUAUUCUCUCGCUCCUUGCUUGCUCGCGGAGCGGCAUACCGGAAAAAAAAUGAAGAAGAAAAAAAACGAUCAAUCUCAUCUCAUAGUGCUAGGAUGAAGAAAGGAAGGAAGAGGUAAUCUUUCUACGCUACGAUCUUUCUUCUCUUAUGAUAUUGUUGUUUUGUUGUAAACCUGAAUUGAAUGGGUUAUAAUUAGAUAAUUAAUAGGCUGACUUCCAUUUCGUUUCGAUCUUCCACCUUAACCCUAGUACACGGGCGCCCAAACGGAGCUUGAAAGCACUGUGGGCGAAGGGUUCUCAACCAAUCUCGCACUUGACACGCAAAGCAAUAAACAGCAGUCUAUCUUCACAGAGAAAGAGAAGGAUCUUCGGCAAAGGGUUCCCGGCUUCGCGAGAACUUUUCGAUCUGCUCUAGGCUAAGCUCAAUGGGGCCUUGCUUUGCUUUGUUGAUGCCAAGCUCUUAGUCUGAUUCAGAUAAACUGUGAACCAAGACAUGAAAAAGAACGAACUCAAAACGAAUUCUUGAAUAUUAGAUCUUCUACCCGCGGUGCGGUAAACGGAACACAAACAGAAUCUUCACUUCAAGUUCAGAUAGCAAGACAGUGAACAAUUAUCAGUGUGACCUACAA
rnacentral:lncRNA from 1 species